rnacentral:rRNA from 1 species
CACGAGGUAAACGGGUGGGACCGCAAUGCGGUCGGCCCGGGGGAUUCAACCGGCCGGCAGGAGCGUCGCCGGGCGGGAUGUCGCGGAGCCUCGUAGGCCCGCGCUCCCGCUCGAGGAAGGCGUCGCCCGGGCCGGUGCACUUUCUCCGGGUCGACGGUCACGGCCGGCUCUCCGGCGGCCAGAAGCCGUGUUCGGGGGAAGGUGGACUCGGGUUCGCGCCCGAGGAGCUUACAGCCCUCUUUACGCACGUGCUGGCUCGUCGGUGGGCCGAGGAAGGGAAAUCGUUCGCCGCGCUCCGAACCGCCCGUCGGGGUCCACCCCGCGUCCGUCUCGACCGGGCUGGACUGGUUCUUCCAGUGCUCUCCCGACCGCGGGCGCGGGAGGCCUCGACGCGGCGAGGGGCGCCGACGGCCCGUGACGAAUCGGUCGGCAACCCACCCGACCCGUCUUGAA